rnacentral:tRNA from 1 species
AAUGAGUUGGCAGAGUAAUGCAUUUGAUUUAGGAUCAAAAGACAGGAUCACCCUACUCAUUA